UUGAGAAAUUCAACAAUGAUA
rnacentral:piRNA from 1 species